AAUAUUGCACAAUGGAGGGAACUCUUAUGCAGCAACGCCGCGUGAGUGAAGAAGGUUUUCGGAUCGUAAAACUCUGUCAUUGGGGAAGAAUAAAUGACGGUACCCAAUGAUGAAGCCCCGUCUAACUACGAUCCAGCAGCCGCGGUAAUACGUAGGGGGCGAGCGUUGUCCGGAAUUACUGGGCGUAAAGGGUACGUAGGGGGCUAAUUAAGGCAGGUGUGAAAUACCAGUGCUUAACACUGGAAUUGCAUUUGAAACUGUGGAGCUUGAGUGCAGGAGAGGAAAGUGGAAUUCCUAGUGUAGCGGUGAAAUGCGUAGAGAUUAGGAGGAACACCAGUGGCGAAGGCGACUUUCUGGACUGUAACUGACGCUGAGGUACGAAAGCGUGGGUAGCGAAC
rnacentral:rRNA from 1 species